ensembl:lncRNA ARHGEF26-AS1 ARHGEF26 antisense RNA 1
AUUAUAUUAAGAAAUAUUAUUUCUUGACUGAAAUAAACAUUGUUAAGUAAUAAUUCUAAAGCCAAAGAAGUACAAAUGUUAACUAUAAAAUGCCUAUUUAUUCAUUGACACCAUAUUUUUCUUCAAUUCUUUGAACUUUUUUUUUUUUUUUUAAUUUGAGAUGGAGUCUUACUCUGUUGCCCAGGCUGGAGUGCAGUGGCACCAUCUUGACUCACUGCAACCUCCACCUUCCAGGUUCAAGCGAUCCUCCGGCUUCAGCCCCCCUAGUAGCUGGGAUUACAGUUUCCAGUUCAUUUUGGAAGCUUAAAAGUUGGCCUUUUAGCUUCACUUCAUAGACAUGCAGUGAAGGCAGUGAGGGGCUGUGGUGUGAUCCAGGAGGCUGAGAAUUAUGCAGUGGGUGCUGUCACCUUGAAGACAUCAGCGUGAUCAGGCAGAUCAUCAUGGUACUGCAUUUCCUGGACACGAUCUUAAUUUUCUUAAUACCUCCACCGACAUUUCAAAUAGCGUC